rnacentral:ribozyme from 1 species
UGCCCAGCAACUCCUAUCCCUACCUCCUCGCGGUACUGGCUGGGGUACAAGUAACCUGAGGGAAGAUCGGGUAACCAACCUCGGUUGGAACUCUGGUUGUAUGCUGACAGGGAAGA